AGCCAAGUCUGGGAUGCCUGGAACUAUGGCGGGAACCUCCCACUCGAAUCCACACGCCACAGUUUCGGGAAAGUUGCCCGCGCUCCUCCACCGACCGGGGCCUACCUGACGGAUCGCGUGGCUCUCGACACCGCCUGAAAGUCCAGACCAGCCAUUGCAUCCCAGUGGCUCCUCCCCCGAGAAGCAAGCAUUGCCGAAUGCCGUUCUCCGUUUCCACCCACGCAAGAUUGAUUGCCUCGAGUCUAUUCCCACUUGUCGCGACCCUGUACACAGACUAGAACUGCCUCGGAGGGUUUCCGAGUCAGCUCAUCUGUACUGUGGCAAACUGCCAGAUCUUUCUCCGCAGCAGCAGUUAAUUUUGGAGCCAUUGCAAGGGAUUCAGCUCUACAUACCAACUAAAUAACCCACAUGGAAACUCUAACAUACCCUGCUUGGCUACCCAAAGGAGAGGAAAAUUCAACUCUACCCCAUUUCCAUUGGCAGAGAUCAGAUUGGCUUGUAGGCGCCUUGUGGGAGUCUGCAUGUCCCUCAGCCUGUGGUCUGCGCCAUCCACUGUCUUUAAGCUUUCCAUUCCCGGAUGUUCCCUGGCCUAUUGUCCUGCCUGAGUUUGGCCUUUGUGAUGAUUGGUGCUCGGUGGC